rnacentral:rRNA from 1 species
AUGGCGGGAGCGGCCGGGAGGGAGAGGGACCCACUCCUCCGCUCCGAGAUCCACGGCUUCAUCACCUACGCAGACUUGAACUUCGAGAAGCUGAAAGCAGAGGCCGCGUCGCGCUGGUUCCGGCCGAAUGAGAUCUACGCGGUCCUGGCCAACCACGAGAGGUUCAAGGUCCAUGCACAGCCCAUCGACAAGCCCGUGAGUGGUGCUAUUGUUCUAUAUGAUCGCAAAGUUGUCCGGAACUUCCGGAAGGAUGGCCAUAAUUGGAAGAAAAAGAAGGAUGGCAAAACUGUCCAAGAAGCCCAUGAAAAAUUAAAGAUUGGUAAUGAAGAGAGGGUUCAUGUCUAUUAUGCUCGAGGUGAGGAUAAUCCAAAUUUCUUUAGAAGGUGCUACUGGCUGCUUGACAAGUGCAUCACGUGA